rnacentral:lncRNA from 1 species
UGUUUGUGUCGACAAUUACAAGGGAGAAGAAGAGAAGCAACCUAGUUCAUCCUCUUCACAAAUUGAUGCAAUUCUCCACCAAAUUGAAGUGUUUGGGGCUUGAUUCUUUGGGCUUUAAGCCUUUCUAUACAUCUAAGACAAGCUUGACUCUUUGACGAGCUAGGUGGAAGCUUGGAGAGGAUUGGUCAAACGAAAUAAAGAUGCCAGGAAACUUGCACGGAUGCGAGGUAAGUAAAACUUACACCCCUAGAAUAGGAUCAUUGAUCAUGUGAGGGUAAUGUCUUGACAGUUAGUUAAAGGUUAUCGAGUAACCAGUUUUGGUAACAUGUAUAAAAAUGGAAUGAAUUCCUUGGUGUAAACCAUGAAACGUGUCAAAUUAGUGAGUUGUAAAAUAAGCCACUUGUUGGUAAUGAUGAUGAUAUGCUAAAAAUGAAUUCCAUGGUGUAAACCAUGAAAUGGGUCAAAAUAGUAAACCGCAAACCAAAUCAUUUGUUCGUGAUGAUGAUGAUGUACUAAAAUGAAACCCAGUGGCGUAAACCAUAACGGGUCAAAAUGGGUAAAUGUGACCUUAAAACAAAGGGGGUUCCGGUUAAUACUCUUAAGGGGUAGACUGGGAAUCGGUCUAAGGAACCAUCAGACAAACCAUAGUUACCUAAAUCGCUAGGGUAGCCACAAUCCACGUAUUGGAUCGUGGUGUACCCAAUCGGAAAUCGUAAGCGUACCGGAACGACAUGGUCCGGGGAACCGGGUUGCGUCGGUACGGUGUUCUUGAUUGCGGAGGUACGGCGAUCCAAAUUGAUCCAGUUCAGCAAACCAAAUAGACAAGGUCGAGGUUCCAAAUCGAUUGGGAUACAACGAUCCAUAGCUAUUUUAGGUGGGAACCAGGAAGAAAGGGGAAGAAGACCAGCGGCUGCGUCUGUGUGUUAUCUGGCUGUUUUAGGCUUUUUAGGUUUAAAGAAGUUUAGUUAUUUCAACAUUUAACCCCUCUAUGUUUUCUAGUUUACAUUUAAACGCUAAAACUUAUAGUUUUUACAUAAAAAGUGUAAAAGUAGUU